rnacentral:rRNA from 1 species
GACGAACGCUGGCGGCGUGCUUAACACAUGCAAGUCGAACGGUGACCCAGGGCUUGCCCUGGUGAUCAGUGGCGAACGGUGAGUAACACGUGGGCAACCUGCCCCUGACUUCGGGAUAACUCCUCGAAAGAGGAGCUAAUACCGGAUACGACCACUUCGGACAUCCGAUGGUGGUGGAAAGUUUUUCGGUCAGGGAUGGGCCCGCGGCCUAUCAGCUAGUUGGUGGGGUAAUGGCCUACCAAGGCGACGACGGGUAGCCGGCCUGAGAGGGCGACCGGCCACACUGGGACUGAGACACGGCCCAGACUCCUACGGGAGGCAGCAGUGGGGAAUAUUGCGCAAUGGGCGAAAGCCUGACGCAGCGACGCCGCGUGAGGGAUGAAGGCCUCGGUUGUAAACCUCUUUCAGCAGGACGAAGCGAAAGUGACGGUACCUGCAGAAGAAGCACCGGCUAACUACGUGCCAGCAGCCGCGGUAAU